rnacentral:rRNA from 1 species
GUGGGGAAUUUUGGACAAUGGGCGCAAGCCUGAUCCAGCAAUGCCGCGUGCAGGAAGAAGGCCUUCGGGUUGUAAACUGCUUUUGUACGGAACGAAACGGUCCGGGUUAAUACCCUGGGCUAAUGACGGUACCGUAAGAAUAAGCACCGGCUAACUACGUGCCAGCAGCCGCGGUAAUACGUAGGGUGCAAGCGUUAAUCGGAAUUACUGGGCGUAAAGCGUGCGCAGGCGGUUUUGUAAGACAGGCGUGAAAUCCCCGGGCUCAACCUGGGAAUUGCGCUUGUGACUGCAAGGCUGGAGUGCGGCAGAGGGGGAUGGAAGUCCGCGUGUAGCAGUGAAAUGCGUAGAUAUGCGGAGGAACACCGAUGGCGAAGGCAAUCCCCUGGGCCUGCACUGACGCUCAUGCACGAAAGCGUGGGGAGCAAACAGGAUUAGAAACCCUAGUAGUCC